rnacentral:rRNA from 1 species
CCUACGGGGGGCAGCAGUCGAGAAUCAUUCACAAUGGGGGAAACCCUGAUGGUGCGACGCCGCGUGGGGGAAUGAAGGUCUUCGGAUUGUAAACCCCUGUCAUGUGGGAGCAAAUUAAAAAGAUAGUACCACAAGAGGAAGAGACGGCUAACUCUGUGCCAGCAGCCGCGGUAAUACAGAGGUCUCAAGCGUUGUUCGGAAUCACUGGGCGUAAAGCGUGCGUAGGCUGUUUCGUAAGUCGUGUGUGAAAGGCGCGGGCUCAACCCGCGGACGGCACAUGAUACUGCGAGACUAGAGUAAGGGAGGGGGAACCGGAAUUCUCGGUGUAGCAGUGAAAUGCGUAGAUAUCGAGAGGAACACUCGUGGCGAAGGCGGGUUCCUGGACAUUAACUGAUGCUGAGGCACGAAGGCCAGGGGAGCGAAAGGGAUUAGAUACCCCUGUAGUC